GUUUCCGGCCCGGGGCCCGACUGCGGGUGGCAUUUCUGGCUAAGCCGUUAGGCGCGAAUUGUAUGUCUGGUUUAUUCGUAGUGGCCAGCAGGGGAGGGAGGGAGGAUGCUUGGGGUUUCUGGCUUCCAGGGUGGGUGGGGACGAGGUGGUGGAGUCCAGCUCAGGUCCGGGCUCCUGAUAAGGGCAGAAGCGGGUUCUGCGCUGCCCCCAACCCUGUAACCGCCAGGAAAGCGCUUGGUGAGCGUCGGGACUGCGCAGGUUCCUCGGGAGGUGGCUAAACUGGCCACCGCCUCUGGGGCCGCCUAAAGCAAGUCCGUUAACCACUAGUCAGGGAGGAAUACUGUGUUUGAGUAAAUAUAUGUAGAGUUGGGUUAGAAUCAUUGAUUGGGUCUUUUUGAAAUCUUACAGUUCUGUGUCCAGAAAACACAGGGCACGUUACCCGGUAUCGUGGUCUACACCUCGCCCACAAAUCCAUCCCAGGCUGUAUCCUCAUGGAAGCUUUUUCCAGAUGUGCUUGAGGGUUAAGAUCGCAAUGUGCAAGAAGAAAAAGUGCACAUUGGAAAACCUUCUCUUCGGAGAUAUCUAUAUCUAUAUUUAUAUAUAUUUACAGAUAUGGAGAUAUAUACACACACGUAUCUGAAAACAUUCUGACGUUUUAAAAACGGAGCACCAGAGGAGGGGGACUUCAUCUGACUUGUUCAGCACUGUCUCCCAGGCCCUGGCACAGAGGGAGCACUCGAUACACACCGAUGGGCUGAAGGUGUGAAUGGAUCUGGGGACUAGAGUGAUGGUUAUUUGGCAGACAGCAUGCCCCGCCUGGGCAGUAGCCGUGAAGACUCUUCUUUUCCUCUCCUCGCCUGCACUCUUUAGGAUUGAACAGCAUUGGUUCAAUGCAUAUUCUGGGAGCACAGAGAAAAAAGGGAUCAAGUUCCACCAUUAUGCAAAAGGGACUCCUGUAAGCCAGACCCUGAGCCGUUGUCAAAACACAGCUUAAUCCCCAUUCCCUGGGCCCGAGACCCUGCAGCCCCCACGCUGCCCGGCUUCCGGUCUUACCUGGGGCAACCUGACCAACAAGAACGCGGAAGGCCAGGAGCCAAAAACAGAGACUCCUGAUGGGUAACAGAAGGAAAAGAUGAAGGAACAAGGUCCAGUGAUGUCCCCAGAGCAUGUAGCUGGUCAAAGACCAACCCCGGACCAGAAUGGAUGCCUCCUGAUCUCACUUCAGUUCUCAUUCCACUUCACCACACUGCUGGUUGACUGUGGUGUCACGGUGCAUAACCAGAACUAAUUUCUGGCAUUACCUUCCAGGAUCUAGUACAUUAUGGGACACAAAAGGAAUU
rnacentral:lncRNA from 10 species